rnacentral:rRNA from 1 species
UACAGAGGUCUCAAGCGUUGUUCGGAUUCAUUGGGCGUAAAGGGUGCGUAGGCGGCGCGGUAAGUCGGGUGUGAAAUCUUGGAGCUUAACUCCGAAACUGCAUUCGAUACUGCCGUGCUUGAGGACUGGAGGAGGAGUACGUAGGUAACUUGACGGUGUAGCGGUGAAAUGCGUAGAUAUCGUAAGGAGGACCAGUGGCGAAGGCGGGUCUCUGGACAGUUCCUGACGCUGAGGCACGAAGGCCAGGGGAGCAAACGGG